rnacentral:rRNA from 1 species
GACGAACGCUGGCGGCGUGCCUAAUACAUGCAAGUCGAACGCUUCUUUCCUGCCGAGUGCUUGCACUCAAUUGGAAAGCGGAGGAGCGGCCGGUGGAGUAACACGUGUGUAACCUACCCAUCAGAGGGGGAUAACACUUUGAAACAGGAGCUAAUACCGCAUAACAGUUUAUGCCGUAUAGCGUUAGAGCGGAAGGGGCUUGAGGGGGUCGCUGUCGGAUGGACGCGGGGUGUAUUAGCUAGUUGGUGGGGUAACGGCACACCAAGGCCACGAUGCAUAGACGACCUGUGAGGGUGAUCGGCCACACUGGGGCUGAGACGCGGCCCAGACUCCUGCGGGAGGCACCAGUAGGGAAUCUUCGGCAGUGGACGAAAAUCUUACCGAGCAACGCGGCGUGAGUGAAGAAGGUUUUCGGAUCGUAAAGCUCUGUUGUUAGAGAAGAACAAGGACGUUAGUAACUGAACGGCCCGUGACGGUAUCUAACCAGAAAGCCACGGCUAACUACGUG